GGCUCUUGUUAAAGCCUCACUCUUUCAAGUUGCCUUUCUCAGACCCUCCACUGGUUUCCACUGAAAAGACUUUCACCUGUUCUCUGCACACAAGGUAACUGAAAAUGUCAGACACUGAAGAGAUCAUUGAAGAAUAUGAAGAGGAACAGGAAGAAGACUGUAUUGAAGAAGGUAAGCUUCUGUGUUUAUGAGAAAAGCCAUAAUAUCUGGGGUUAUUAAACCAGAACAGCAUACUCUUUAAAAAUUACCUCCCAAGUUGGUGUCUAUACACUGCAUUCAGUGUAACUACAGGUGAGUUCAGCUUCUAAUGGGGCCGUCUGAGCUAUGGAUGUUUGUAAAGAAAGAGAAGAUCUUCUUUUUAUUGGCAUCCAGCAUGUGGAACUCCUGAUCACAUGAAUUUAGGCUUCUUUUACUUAUGUGCCUCUGACUCUCCUGCAACAUCAAAUGCUUAAUUACUGCUUUUAUUUGACUUUUGGACAGUUAUUUCAGUAGUAGUUUUAUGAUAGAUGUUAACAGUUAUGAGGUGAGUGUUUGGAAGGGAAAUGUGUGUGAUUUAUUUUAGUAUAAAUAAAUAAACAAAACAAAAAAUACAUGUGUAAAAUAUAAAUUUAUUCAUCCAAAUAGCUUUAAAAGCAGUUAAAAUGUAUUUCUUUAGGUUGAAAUGUUAAUAUUUCAAAAGUCUAAGAAAACUGAAGUUCAAAUAACUGGAUAUUUGCUUGUUAUUUUCUAUGAAUAC